CAGAUGCCCCUCUUAGUUAAUCCUCUCUGGAAAAGCCUUUGACCAACCCAAAGGUAUACCUGUGUCUCCUAGGCGAUGCUAAAUCCAAUCAAAUAUGGCAACCAAAACUAGCUAUCACAACAUCUGGACCACAUAAGUCAUUCAUCCAGAGAAGUAUCCUACAUGCAAGACAUUAGAAGUAUCCGUGGUAGAUAUAUAGUUUAGGUGUUAUGUUGCAUAUAUGUAGUCCCAUCUGCUUGGAAGGCUAAGGUGGGAAGAUCUCUUGAGUCCAGAAGGUCAAGGACAGCCUGGAUAAGAAAAUUUCAUCUGCGUCCAACACAGUGCCAAUAGUGUAACAAACGCAUCAACUUCUAAGAAGCCAGAUGAGAGACUACAUAUGAGUAACCUCAGGCAACCUGCCUGAAUUGUCCACAACCCACGAUGAAAAUUGAAAUCCUUUCCAAGAACCUUGACUCACGCAUACAGACCUAAGAUCCAGCUAGGUUUAACUUUUACUUCUCCGCGCACCACGGCAUCAAAAUUCAUUUCCCCAAAGAGCAAGGCAAUGCCAGAUUCCAAAAGAAGAGAAAAACAACCGGGUCAAGAAACCUUCCCACAUCACAAGCACGCUCAAACGCAGCGAGCUCACGUCCGAGGGGCACGGCGCUAGGUGGCAGAAGAGAGCCGGAGACGCGCUAGGCCGACUGCAGCAGCCGCUGAGCAUCUCUUCUAGUUCCUUCCCACUUUACCCUGGCUCAGGCCUCAAAGGCUCAGCCGAAUUCUAACAACAGGUUCUUCAUUAAGGGGUACACUGCUACGAGAUAAACAUGGCUUUUUCAGCCGCUCAAUUGCAUCCUAUUUGAAGAGAUUAUGCCCAUAUUCCAGGCUCCUUUGCUGUACAACGCUGUUUAGCAAACCAGUUCAAAACCCUGGCCCCACCCGGCACCCCUUCCCUCAGCAACACAAGCACAUCUAGGUGAGUUUCGAGGUUUAGGGUCAUCUAGAGGCUGAAUUACUUACAAAUGUCGCCUCCCCAAGAUGCACUGAGCUUCAGGAUGGAACCUCUGCUCCGGAGGCAGCCCCCACUGGACCAGACAUCAGCUGAAGCCGCCCUAAGGCUUGAAUGAGGUCCUCACGAGGAGGAAUGCUAGGCCUUCCAGAUGUGCAAACCUCAACUAUUUGGUUUCUUAGGCAGCGGGUAUUUGAGUGGUUUCAGUGGCGUCCAAAUCUUCCAAACCCUUUCCUUAGCUUCAAAAGGGUACCAGGGCUUUCUUAAAGGGUUGUAAGGACUAAAGAAGGUAUGGGAUCCAUCGAUGAGUGUUUUGUGUGACAAUUGGUCACACUACUCAGUAAAUGUAGCUAUGGUUAUCAUCUCCCAAAUGAGACAGGAAGCAGGAAGGUUUUCUGAAGCAAGGUCCAGUCCUCAUUGACCUCACUAUUACCACUCUCGUUAUGCCCCCACCCCCACUCCAGGCUUUUGUUAGAUGGGGUGAAUUUGGUGUUUUCACCUGGAUGUGAUGAAAUGUCUUGCUUCUACAGUAUCUAUGGCAUAAUCUUCCCGGCUCCUGCUACAGGAAGCAGAUCCUGUGCUUUUGACAUGUGUCUCCAUCACUUAGAGCUAUGAAAUCCAGGGCAGCUGGCUUCAUCCUCCCGAGCUGCGUUUCACCAUCUGAAAAUGGAGGACAGCAUGAGGACUUUUCUCGAUAGGUCAUUUAUGAGACUGAGACGGCUAACUGUCACAGAUGACGUGAGAAGUCAGCAGAUGUUAGGUGCCGGCAGGGUUAGAUUUAUUAUGCCCACACGUCCACUCUCAGAGCUUGUGGGGCUAAGGUGGGCUUCUUAUGGUGACUAAGGAACGAAUUGGACCUGGCUUCUGGAAUCAUACUUCCUGGUGCUUCAAGCUCUUGAUGCAAAGGCAACACAUAGUUUAAUGAUGUUAGUUUAACCUGGGGGAGAAUCUAGGACGGAGAAAAUGCCCCUGUACCAUUACAGUUUGAAACAAGGGGUAUUGUGCUGCAGAUACGUGAAGCUAAAUCUCAGCUUUACUACUUAGUCCCCAGAUAACUUUGUCAAAGUUACAAUAUUCUCUCUGAACUUCGCUUUCUACAUUUAUAAAAAUAGGGAUCAUUGUAAACCCUGCAUAAUCAAGAAUGAAGAUUACAUGCAGAAAUCCACUUGAAAUGCUAGACAAGUUCCAGUAAAGGUUUGCUUUAUUAGUCAUGCUGGUAUUAAUACAUCUAAUAUUGCCAUCAAGCCUUGGAGAUAGGGAGAGCAUUCUGAAUGUAGCUCUUGCAUUAUGACUAGGAUUUGGAUAAAGCCAAGGAAAUCUGCUGGCAAGAAGAACAAACCACAAGAAAGGGGGAAAGUCAGCAGCAGCCACCGAGUAGCUGAGUUUGGACUCACUGAACACUUCAGGGUGUGUUUAGGAUGUCAUCUUUCUCAAUUAUUUGGGGCUGCAGUUUUUCCUGGGAAGAUGGACUAUUCAUGGGGAAACUAGGGAAGUCAGGAAAUAAGAACCUUGUUCAUUCAUUCAUUAGAGAAUUUGUGCUCCAAACACACAGAUACCCUAAAGUUCAUGAGAAUAACUGAAAAGGACAGGGAGAAACCAGCAAGACUGAAGACUCAGUGGGUAGAAACACGGAGCAUACGACCUGCCGCCCUGAGCUCAAUGCCUAGAACUCAUACAGAGGUGGAAAGGAAGAACCGAUUCCACAGUGUUGUCCUCUGCCCUCCGCACACACAGUGAUAAUGAAACAGUGAACAUUUAAAGGAGACUGUUUGAACUGGGGGGUAACUGCUUAAAAGAGAGUUUCAGGAAAUCAGAGAUUAAGAUGAGAGCAUUCUCCCUUCCUCAUUGCUGUUCCCAUAGUCCUUUGUUUGUAUCCUUCCUCUAAUGUUACAGCUGUGUUAAAUAUUAGUGUGUCCUCGAAAGCCUGCAAUCGAAUGUCCUUGAUGCAAAUAUGGCAUCUUUACCAUCUUAUCUCCAUGUUGUCUUGUGUAAUGUAACCUCAAUAUGUUUUGUAUUGAAUCGAAAACCUAUGAUUCUAUGCAAUAUUUGCUGUUCCUCUUUGCUCAAAAAUUGAACAUCAGGUUUCUGUGUGCCGAGUGAUUUUUCUUCUGGUGACAUAUAAAGUCAAUCCAUUAAAACAUUGAUUGGAAAGUCUGCACAUGCUCCUCUCUGUUAGUGAAGAAAGUUUUCUUCUUGGUUCCUUCAGCUAGCAAGUGCUUAGUAAUGUGGUGGUCCCUGGGACAGAGACAAAGAGCUGAUGUUCUCCACUUUGUUAAAGGACACAGUCCAAUCCCCAUGAAGCAGAGUAAUGGGUAGAAAGACUACACAACCUUCAAAUGGGCUUAAAGUUAUUUUCAAAUGCUUAACUACUGAUUGGGGAGGUCCUUCUGUGUAUGUUUAUCUUAUUGGUUGUUGAAUAAAGCACUGUUGGCCAAUAGGGGAGGAAAAUAGCUGGGACUAGGAGUCGAGGAGAAUUCUGGGAAAUGUAGGAAAGAGAAGUCUUGUGAUCCAGGCAGGAAGUAACAUAACAGGCAGACUCAGAAUAUAAGCAGGGACAAUCAGAAAGUUGAUCUCUUCCUCUUCCUCCUCCUCUCUGUGGAGCUGCCAUGUGAUCCCAGGAAGGCAGGACGCUUUCCACCAGCAUCCUCCAUAAGAUAAGUCUUAUAAAAUAUAAAGAUUAGUAGUUAUGGUUGAUAAAUAAGACUGAGUUAACAUUUAAGAAAUCCUAGUUAUUGGCCAGCAGUAUUG
rnacentral:lncRNA from 1 species